UACGAAGGGGGCUAGCGUUGUUCGGAAUCACUGGGCGUAAAGCGCACGUAGGCGGACCUUUAAGUCAGGGGUGAAAUCCCGGGGCUCAACCUCGGAACUGCCUUUGAUACUGGAGGUCUCGAGACCGGAAGAGGUGAGUGGAAUUCCUAGUGUAGAGGUGAAAUUCGUAGAUAUUAGGAAGAACACCAGUGGCGAAGGCGGCUCACUGGUCCGGUUCUGACGCUGAGGUGCGAAAGCGUGGGGAGCAAACAGG
rnacentral:rRNA from 1 species